GCCGUUCGCGCGGAGGAAAGGCCGGGGAAAUCGGAUUAAAAUGUAGGCAAGGGGAGGGCGGGAGCUGAAUGCUCAGGGUCGAGUAAGGAAAGGGAGGAAACAGCGAGGGGGUCGCGCCUCUUCGCUCUCUCCAGACGGACGGAUGCGUGGCUAGGCCUGUGUCCCGUAGGACUGUUCCCGCCCUUCGUCCACGGAAGUUGGUGUUUUCCCACCGUACCUGUGUGGGCAUUCAGUAGCACUGAGGAGUCCCUCAAGACACCAAGGCAAUGGACAACGUCAUCUGAGGCCAGAGGCUCCCCAUGCUGUGCAUGGGAUCAGUUCCCUGAAGACUUUCCCCUCUUCCUUCCAGCAUUCUCUCAGUCUUGACUGGAUUCAGCUUUUCUUCAUCCAGGUGGAUAUACGGAUAUUGAGGAAAUGGAAUGCAACUGUCCCUUCCCUGCCCCUCUUUUUAAGCUGCAGGUACCCAUGAUCAGAGUUUUGAGCCAACACCCUGCCUUCUCCCUCCUCCUACAAAACUACCAGUUGGGAUUGAUGGAGAGGAUGUACUUUAGGCCUUCUUUUAGCUGGAGUCAAAUAAAAAUAUUGCCAUGUUAGUCACUGAAGAAAAGGUAAAUGAUGUGGUGUAUGUUGUUGGAUCAAAAUGGCAAAAAUGUCUUACACCUCAUGUUUCCUCUUUCAGAUGUGGAUGUUACAAAAAAGCAGUUUUACCAAGUGCAGCAUUCUUUUCCUAGUUUCUUCACUGCCUGAGUCAGUAUCUGCUGGAAUAAUUUGUGCUAAGGAGGAGAAAUAAAGGUUUUUUUUAAGAGGGUUGGGAUAUAUAAUUGAAGAACAGCUGUCUAAGCUUUUCAGAUUAAAUCUGGCCUAGAUGUGUGCAGCUGGAACCUCUUCAUAUUAAGCAAAAGUGGCUUCCUGACCAGCAAACAGCGAAGUGUGGUGCGCAGAAUCUAGAGUCAACUUUCUUCAAUGGAUGAUGUGUGGGAAGCUGCUUUGUACACCUUCACGGCUGUCCCCUGUUUUUAGGAAUAUACAAUUUUACUUUGAUUCCAAUGUUUUGUUUGCCUAAAGAAAAUAGGUUUCCUCUUCCCAUGAAGACAUAGAAGGUUGAUGCUCUUGUCACAGCAGUUGCCAGGGAAGGCUAACUUAAACAAAGCAGGGGGCAAUUGCAACAUCAAGUUGGCUUGUAAGUCUGGUGCAUGAGAAGUGGUAUAGAAUAGAUUGUUGUAUUACAUAAUUCACCCCCCCUUGCCCGUGGAGCUUUCCAAUCUUUAUUACUGUCAAUCUGCUGCCAUCUGUGAUGUUCAUUAAUCACAACUUGCCAUGGCCUUCAGAAGUUUCACUUAUACUGUGAAUCUGUGAAGUAAUUUCUAGGUUUUCAAACAUGGGGUAUAAUUUCAAGUUACACAACAGGCUCACAUGCGGACACUGUAGUGCUGACUCUAGUGUUGCAAGAGAUGGUGCUGUAAUAGUGGAAGUGCUGUCCUUUUGGAUAACAUGGUAAAAGUUUUCAGGUGGUUCUGUAGUUGAAGAUGGAGCUUGACACUUCUCAAAAUGAGGUGAAUCCUUUGUUUAGUCUAAUACUGCUUUUGUCAGUAAAUGCACUCCAGUGUCUAAACACCUCAGCCCCUAUUACAUUUGCCUGUACUUGCACUGUUAGUGUAAUUUAACCUUUUAUGACAGGAAGACACUUUAGAUGAUCACAAUUGUGAAAAUGACUGUAGUCCAGUAGUUUUCAAGCUUUUUUUCUGUCAACCCAGUUGAAGAAAAUGGAUGCCCAUGACCCAGCAGAGCUGGGGAUGAGGGGUUUGGGACAUGGGAGGGGGCUCAGGGCUGGGGCAGAGGGUUGGGGUGCAGGAAGGAGGUCAGGGCUGUGGGCUGGUGGUGCAGGCUCAGGUGGGACUGGAGAUGAUGGGUGCAGAAGGGGGUCGGCUCUGGCCUGGGGAUGAGGGGCUCUGGGUUUGGGCUACAGGUUUGCCUCUGGUGGCUCCCAGUCAGCAGCACAGCUGGGGUGCAGAGACAGGCUUCCCGCCUGUCCUGACACUGCAGACCAUGCUGCGCCCUGGAAGUAGCCAGCAGCUCCAGCUCCUAGGCAGAGGAAUAAGCGGCUCUGUCUGGCUCUCACCUGCAGGCACUCCCUGCCUGCUCUCCCCCCACCCCCACCUCCGGGAAUGGUGGGAGUGCAGAGCUGGUGCUUGGGCAGCACGUGGAGCUCUGUGGCCCACCUGCCUACAAGCUGGACCUGCUGGCCGCUUCCAGGGCACAGCAUGGUGUCAGAACAGGUAAGGACUACUAGUUUUUACUGGCCAGCCACUGGGGUCCUUGGGUGCUGAACAAGGCUACCUUGCAUUCUGUGACUCGGGACUGGGUCGUGACCUGAACUUUGAAAACCACUGUGGUAGUCCAUAUCUUUCAUCUGACUGAGCAGCUGAAGAAAAAAAGUUUCUGGUGAGCAUACUCUGUUCUUAAUAGAACAGAAUGGUCUGUGGGGAGGUAGACCCUUUCUGGGAAGGAAACAAAGGUAUUUGAACAUGUAUAAUCUUUUCCUUCCAGGCUUUACAGUAUUUAGGUUAAGAUGAAAAAGUAAGCAGAAAUCUACAUAACCAAGUUCAUCUGUAGAAAUGCAAGUAUGAGACUGCAGCUCUUCAGAAUGAAAGCCUUAUUGUCUGUCUUUCAGGAAAUUCUUGUUUUGUGAAUUGUAACAAUUCACUGCAGGCUCAUGUAAUGCAAGCAAAUCCACACCCAAAUGUAACAAUAGCUCACACAUGAGACUUUGUGCACAAAAAUAGAAAAUUCAGAGAUGUGGUUCCUACUUGAAUUAUAACAUGGUCAUGGUAGACACAGCUGUAAGGUAUAUAAAGGUUUAAAAAAAUACAGGUACAGCUACUUUAAAAAAAGAACCCACAUACAAUCAGCUCAUUUGUGUGCCAAGUCUAAAGUGCAGAGUUCAUUAUCCCAGAUAUCAAAGGAACAUAGAACUUUGAGUUAGAGCUGCUCAAUUUUUUCCAUAACAUUUUUAAUUGGAAAAUGUCCAAGGGACAGUGUGUCAGUUUUCUCACCAGGAAAUUUUGAAGCAAAGUUUUAAAAUCAACCUGAGCUGACAGUGGUUUUUGGAAACUGAAAAAGGCAGGGAAGAGAACAAACCCAACACUGCUUUUCCAGUUGUAAAACUGAGAAGAGGUAUCCUAACAAACUUCUUUAGCUGCUGCCUCUUCCCUGUCAUCUCUCCCCUGCCCCCUCUUUCAAGUGUGAGAGAAGGGAAUACUGAAAACACGUGACAAAAAAAUGGAACUAUGACAUUUUAAGUCAAUGAAAAAUGGCAUCAUUUUUGAAGUAAAACUUCAGAAAAAGCUUUGGUUUCUGACUGACUAUAGUUAUCUUGCAUGGGAAAAACCCUUAUGUUUAAAGUUAACUAUAGUUGUCAGCUGCUGGAAUUGAACUAAUUAUCUUGUGUCUUUCAGCUUAAGGAUACCACAGUGCUUUAACUACAGAAGAAUCUCUUCAUGUAUCAUGGACGUCUUUCUCCUCAGUUCAAUACCAGUUACAUGACAGAACAGGAAGUAAAAUAUACUGCAAAUCUUAGCCAUUAAGUUCCUAGAAAUCCUAUUGCUGCUGCAGCAGACCCUUCCUAGGAACUUCCUGGCAGCAGUGGGGAUACAACGGAGAUCUUCCUGAUCUAGAACUCAAGCCCCUCUCACUUUAGCUAAAGGAGAAUGUAGUAGAGGAAUUAUCCUGUAUAGUGAAGUUACUUUCCCUCUAGCAAACAGAGCACAUGCAAGUCAGCUCCUUACAAUGUUAUCCAAUAAACACUUCAGGGAGAGUAAUACAGGUGAUAUGUAACUUCUAAAAGUGAGGGCAGGCUUCAUGAUCAGUUAACACUUGCCCUCAGGAAAAAAUAGCAGCACGUGACCCAUGGCUUAUCUUUAUCUGUACUCUACCUCCCUUAAUUCCAAGCCAGAUGAUUUGAAGCAGCAGGAAGAGUGCCAAAUGCUGACUGGUCAACAUUACUUGGGAGUUGACUGUGGUCUAGGAAGGUCCCCUAGCCAAGUAGUAAUCUAGUGUUACUCUCCAGAGCUUUUUUUACUCUUAACAGUCUGAUCACACAAGAUGGUAUGGAUACAGCCUGAGCUAGCACCUUAUAACUAUUCCAUGGUUUUGAUAUGCUGAGAACUAUUUUCAAGCCCAAAACAAUUCCUAAACAAAGCUAUUCUGAAGAAGGUUGAAAGUAACCCAUGGAACUCCAGUUAACAACCCCCCUCCAUUCCCCCACCCCCCCCGUACAACUUAAAGAAAGCCCAAAUGUUUUAGUCUGGAAAUGAACUGUUGAGAGCUAAUCAUUUUACUGCUACCAUGCAAGUCUUCCUCUACUGCCCACUGAACUUAGCUCCCUGAAAUUUGCAAAGAUAUUCAUGUAAAGGGGAAGAUAGCUGUAUACAAAGGCAAAAAUUAAAUCCUAUUUCCUAUUCAAGGGAUUAACUUUCCAUAUAGUCUAAGAGUCCCUUAUCUACAUUUGGAGAGCACAGGCUCUGCUAAAGUAUCAUUAGCUUCCAUAUUGCUCAGCCUAGUCAGGUCCAGUUGCCAGAUUAAGGCCCCAGGUCUCAACAUGUUUUUUAAAAAAAUCCACUAAACUGCAUAUGCUUCUUGCUAUAUGCUAUAGCUUUAAACUUGCAUGCUCUCCAUACACUUACAUAAAAUACCAUAAAUCAUAUUACAUAACACCUGUCUGCUGUUGCUCAACUCCAGCAGCACAUUACACUGAGAAAAAACACGUACCUGAUAAGAUUAGGUACCUUCACUACACAUUUAUGGCCUGAUUUACAGAAGUCCUGUCUGCCCUCAGAUCCCACUAAUGAUCAUGGGAGCUGCAGAAUCCUAGCACCUGUGACAGGCCAUUAACUUAAAAAAUAAAGUGAUUUUUUUUUUUUAAAUUGCAAAACCCACCUCCCUAAAGGUAAGAUUGAAAAAAAUAGGUGGGUUUCUGGCAGGCUUCAGUGUAUCUGUGGGAUGUGUGUAAGAGGGAGCUAGCGAGUGAAAGGCAAUGGGGGGGUUGCAGAAAGAGGCUGAUACACAUAAUUGCUGGUCCUGUGCAUCCCUUCUGUUUACCUUCUCCUAGUGUUCUGCAUUAUAGGGGACUAGGGAGACAGGACUUCUAUGACUCAUGUCAUUGUCUCUACUUUUGUGCACUCCUUUAUUUCCCACCAUUCCACUUCUGCUUCCAUUCCCUUGCUUGAUUCUUUGCACACCACUCUGCUUUCUUUAUAAAAACCUUGCUUCCAGGAAAGCUUGGAAGCACUGCUGACACUCUUGGGUUCUCUGCCAGCUUCCCUUCCAGGCUGAGUAGUUCAGGUGGUUUCAUUUGGCAGUAUUAUACUAUGUAAUAGCAUGUAACCUAGAGGAGUGUGAGUAAGAGGCUAAUUCCUGGCAGCAGUUCACUUCAGUCACUUUUACAUGUGGUUGUGCUGCUAUCACAUAACAGGGAUAUUAUCCAGUAGUUACUCUUAACAGUAGUUGGUUUCAGUUUGCACUACCUCUAUGUAGAGGGCUACUGUUCUGCCCUUGCAGAAAUUUGGAAAAAAAAAAAAAAAGUGGGAGAGAAGUAACUGGAUUGCUUAUUUACCCCACCUCUUGAUUUUGGAAUUAUUUAUGCAGGAUAUUACCAUGACAAUAGUUUACCAUUUAGCCUUUGGAUUUAAUAAAUGAAUUUAUGGUUAUUUAUACAAUUGCUCUAAAUACCCCUAAAAAGGUAAUUACCUCAACAGUAAUAUAACAAGCAUUUGAUCAGGAUACUUAAAUUGACUAAAAUCAGGGCUGCUUAGAUCCAUUUUGGUCAGCUCCAACUUGAUCAGAUCAGUGCUAGGAAUUAAUUUGAGCUUUUUAUAUCCUUUAAACAGACAAGUAAUUUCAUUGCCAAUUAUCAGGUGUUAGCUAAGAUCAGAUGGGAGUUUUAUAUAGUCAUUUAUUGCACCUGGUAUCCAAUUAACUUGUUACUUCAGGCCAAACCUCAAGAUAGAUAACACUGGUAUUCUGAAGGGUCCCUAAGUUUUAACAUUCUCCUGGUCUCUUUUUGGUCACAUGUUUUGGGCCUACUCAAGCUAAUAUCCCAACUCUGUUUUAAAGCCAUAGUUUACCCAGAUCUAAGGUGACCCUAUAUUCUCACACUUGAGCAGCAGGACCUAGAAUUUUUUGUGUCGUGCUAUUCCUCCAACUC